CUUUCACUAGUGGGUAUUGGUGAGUUCAUCAAGACAAAAUGCCACCUUAAUAUUCUAAUUUCCAGCCCCUUUCUAAAGUAUGAGUUGAUCUGGUUUUGAUUCUGAUCUUUUGCCUAUUUAUGCCCUUUCUCAGUUACAUUUGGCCAUUUUAUGUCUUCCUUAUGUGAAAGUCCUUAUUUUUCAGUCGAUUCCUGAUUAAGUAUCUUCUUGCCACACUAUGAAAGGUGGCUAGUAGGGAUGAUGAUUCCAGUCACUACCAGCUUGACUGUAGAAUGUGAAAGCCUAAAUUGGACAUCAAAAUCACAUCCUCUCCUCCAAAGGCACAGAGAUAAUUGUGUCAGAGAAGGAGGAAAAACUGUAAGAAGCAGAGGUGAAUACUGUCAGAGCCAGAAUAAAUACCAGGGAACAGUCCUCUAAACACAAUAUGGCAGCUGCACGUUUGUACUUACACUUGUGUUAGCAGGCACAAGCACAUACACUAUCAAGCCCGACCAAAGCCUAGCAUGGAGAGAGGAGAUGUACAUGAAGCCCCACUCCUAGCUGAGGAGUUCUUGUUAACUGACAGCUACUGGGAAAAAGUCGGUUGUCUUUAAGAGGACAGACACUGGUAAGUCAACCAUAUUCCAGUGGAAGUCCACACAUCCAAGAAUUAAUGGGCAGUUCAAAACAAAUUAAUGGGUGAAAAAAAAAAGAAAAUAGAGAACCCUAAGUCAGAUGAGUAGGGAAGGGUAGUAGAUCUGGUACAAAUGGAGGGAGGGUUGACUAUCAUCUUAAAACACUGUACAAAAUCUCAAAGAACUAGUUAAAAAGUAAACAAAACCAUAAUCCACUUUUACUUAAUUAUUUCUUUGAAAAUAAGAAAUUACUAUAGACACCAUUUGUUGGCAAGUCUAAACAUUGUAUUUAACCAAUAGUCUUCUGUGUAAUUCUACCAAGGAUAAUUUUUUCUAUUUUCUACUAUUAUUCUUCUGUCACAAGUGCAGCCUCCUCUUCCUCCACUCUCCCUAGUCUCUCCCCUAAACUUCCUUCUCCAGAUCUGUUUCCCUUCAGAAAAGAGCAGCCCAUCUACUGAUAUCAGCUGAACACAGCACAACAAGAUGCAAUAAGAAUAGGCCCAUGCCCUCAUAUGAAAGCUGAGUAAGACAACCCUGUAAAAGGAAAGGAAUCCCAAGAGCAGGCAAAAGAGCCAUCCAGUCAUCCAGCAUCUCAUUCCUGGCCACACAGGCAGUAUGGGGCAUAAGCUGCCUCUUGUGGCUUGGGCCCAGUCCCACCUCUGAGAGCCUUGACUGGUCACAAAAGAUGGCCUUUCAGGUGUCAAAUCCUCCAUUGCUAGGAGUCCUCAGUGAGGUCACUUUCAUAGGUUCAAGGGAGUUUACACCACAAUAGAUUUCCAUACUGCACCUUAAAUGCCUCCUGUUCCGAUCAUCUCUCCAUCUCUCCCCAAACUCUCUCUUCAUUCAUCCCUCCCCUGCGUGAACCUUUCUGCCUCCACUCUUACCCCACUCAAAAGAUCCAUUCUAUUUUCCCUUCCUAGGAAGAUCUCUACAUCCCCGUAAAGCCCUCCUUGUUACACAGACUCUGUGGGUCUGUGGAUGACAGUGUGAUUGUGAUUUAUUUUAUACUUAAUAUCCACUUUAACUGUAGCCCCCUCCCUCAUUCCUUCACGAUCCUACCCUUCCUCCCUCAUCUCCUCCUAUACACCUCUCCUAUUCCACGGAUAGGGGAGGUCCUCCUCCCCUUCCACCUGAACCUAGCUUAUCAGGUCUCAUCAGGACUGGCUGUGUUGUCCUCAUCUGUGGCCUGGCAAGGCUCCGUCCCACUCAGAAGGACAGGGAUUGGCCAAAGAGCCAGCCAUUCAGCUCAGAAGACAAACGGGAUGGACAGGAAAAACAGGAAACAGGAGAGGAACCUACCACAGAAGGCCUCUGAAAGACUCUACUCAGCAGUGUAUCAAAGCAGAUGCUGAGACUCAAAACCAAACUUAGGGCAGAGUGCAGGGAAUCUUAUGAAACACUGGGGGAGAUAUUAAGACCUGGAGAGGACAGCAGCUCCAGAAGGAGAGCAACAGAACCAAAAUAUCUGAGCACAGGGGUCUUUUCUGAGACUGAUACACCAACCAAAGAUGGUUCAUCGAUAUAGCCUAGAACCCCUACACAGAUGUAGCCCAUGGCAGCUCAGUAUCCAAGUGAAAAUUUCUUACUUCACAGAUUUGCUUACUUUGAAAUGUCGAGUGACUUUUUUAAUGUUUUUACAUGAUUUCACUGUGUAAUCCUGGCUAGCCAGGAACUUGCUAUAUAGCCCAGGCUGGCAUUGAUUCAUGGAGCUCAGCCUGCCUCUGCCUCCUGAUUGCUGGUAUUAAAGUGUGUGCCAUUA